CACGUAGGUGGUGCGCUAAGUCACGUGUGAAUCCCCCGGCUUAACCGGGGAAUGGCGCGUGAUACUGGCGGACUUGAGGCAGGUAGGGGUGAGCGGAACUCCAGGUGGAGCGGUGAAAUGCGUAGAUAUCUGGAGGAAUACCGGUGGCGAAAGCGGCUCACUGGACCUGAUCUGACACUGAGGUGCGAAAGCUAGGGUAGCAAACG
rnacentral:rRNA from 1 species